rnacentral:rRNA from 1 species
AGUACUCCUUCUAAGCUAAAUAUCACCACGAGACCGAUAGCGAACAAGUACCGUGAGGGAAAGUUGAAAAGCACUCUGAAUAGAGAGUCAAAAAGUACGUGAAACUGCCUAGGGCUCAAGCCCGUUGAACUCGAUUAUCCGCGGCGGAGAUAUUCACCUGCGGUUGGCCCUCACCCGGUCCGCCGCAGGGCACUUACCUCCUGCCUCACGAGGACGUUGCGAUCCAUUACGAAACGGUUAGCCAGCGAUGGCUACAGGCCCGGCACCUGCCCCUUGGCAUCUGGUUGCUUGUCCCACAGUAGCGGCGCUCAGUUCGGAAGGCCUGCGCCGCAACCUGGGGCUUACCGGUGCGUGGUGUGCAGCCGGGCGCGUGAUGGAUUCCCGCGUACACCGUCUCGGGAGAGGCUCGCCUCUCCCACCUCCACCAAGGUGACGGACUGUCGAUCGGCAACGAUAAAAUCGAGGUACCUUCGGGACCCGUCUUGAAACACCGGACCAAA